rnacentral:rRNA from 1 species
AUUGAACGCUGGCGGCAUGCUUUACACAUGCAAGUCGAACGGUAACAGGCCGCAAGGUGCUGACGAGUGGCGAACGGGUGAGUAAUGCAUCGGAACGUGCCCAGUCGUGGGGGAUAACGCAGCGAAAGCUGCGCUAAUACCGCAUACGACCUCUGGAUGAAAGCGGGGGACCGAAAGGCCUCGCGCGAUUGGAGCGGCCGAUGUCAGAUUAGGUAGUUGGUGGGGUAAAGGCUCACCAAGCCAACGAUCUGUAGCUGGUCUGAGAGGACGACCAGCCACACUGGGACUGAGACACGGCCCAGACUCCUACGGGAGGCAGCAGUGGGGAAUUUUGGACAAUGGGCGCAAGCCUGAUCUAGCAAUGCCGCGUGCAGGAAGAAGGCCUUCGGGUUGUAAACUGCUUUUGUACGGAACGAAACGGUCCUGGUUAAUACCUGGGGCUAAUGACGGUACCGUAAGAAUAAGCACCGGCUAACUACGUGCCAGCCGCCGCGGUAACAC